rnacentral:rRNA from 1 species
CGGCGUGCCUAAUACAUGCAAGUCGAGCGAACGGACGAGAAGCUUGUUUCUCUGAUGUUAGCGGCGGACGGGUGAGUAACACGUGGAUAACCUACCUAUAAGACUGGGAUAACUUCGGGAAACCGGAGCUAAUACCGGAUAAUAUUUUGAACCGCAUGGUUCAAAAGUGAAAGACGGUCUUGCUGUCACUUAUAGAUGGAUCCGCGCUGCAUUAGCUAGUUGGUAAGGUAACGGCUUACCAAGGCAACGAUGCAUAGCCGACCUGAGAGGGUGAUCGGCCACACUGGAACUGAGACACGGUCCAGACUCCUACG